AUCAAAGGAGCAAUCCGCUCUUGGAGGGGGUCGCGGCUGAUUAGCUAGUUGGUGGGGUAACGGCCCACCAAGGCGGUGAUCGGUAGCCGGCCUGAGAGGGCGCACGGCCACACUGGAACUGAAACACGGUCCAGACUCCUACGGGAGGCAGCAGUGGGGAAUUUUGCGCAAUGGGGGAAACCCUGACGCAGCAACGCCGCGUGGAGGAUGAAGCCCUUUGGGGCGUAAACUCCUUUCGACCGGGACGAUAAUGACGGUACCGGUGGAAGAAGCACCGGCUAACUCUGUGCCAGCAGCCGCGGUAAUACAGAGGGUGCGAGCGUUGUUCGGAAUUAUUGGGCGUAAAGGGCGCGUAGGCGGUGCGGUAAGUCACCUGUGAAAUCUCUGGGCUUAACUCAGAGCUUGCAUGCGAAACUGCCGUGCUGGAGUGUGGGAGAGGUGCGUGGAAUUCCCGGUGUAGCGAUGAAAUGCGUAGAUCUCGGGAGGAACACCUGUGGCUAAAGCGGCGCACUGGACCACGACUGACGCUCAGGCGCGUAAGCUAGGGGAGCAAACAGGAUUAGAUACCCUGGUAAUCCUAGCCCUAAACCAUGGAUGCUUGGUGUGAUCGGUACCCAAUCCGAUCGUGCCUCAUCUAACGCGUUAAGCAUCCCGCCUGGGCAGUACGGUCGCAAAGCCUCAAACUCAGAGGACUUGACGGGGGGCCCACACAAGCGGUGGGAGCAUGUGGGUUCAAUUCAAACGCAUCGCAGAAGAACUUUACCUUGGGCUCCAAGCGCA
rnacentral:rRNA from 1 species